rnacentral:hammerhead_ribozyme from 1 species
AUUCAGAUGAUGAGUCACAAAUAAGACGAAACGCUCUUCCUAGAU